UGGCGAACGGGUGAGUAACGCGUGAGGAACCUGCCUCAAAGAGGGGGACAACAGUUGGAAACGACCGCUAAUACCGCAUAAGCCCACGGGUCGGCAUCGACCUGAGGGAAAAGGAGCAAUCCGCUUUGAGAUGGCCUCGCGUCCGAUUAGCUAGUUGGUGAGGUAAUGGCCCACCAAGGCGACGAUCGGUAGCCGGACUGAGAGGUUGAACGGCCACAUUGGGACUGAGACACGGCCCAG
rnacentral:rRNA from 1 species